rnacentral:rRNA from 1 species
GACGAACGCGGCGGCGUGCCUAAUACAUGCAAGUAGAACGCUGAAGAGAGGAGCUUGCUCUUCUUGGAUGAGUUGCGAACGGGUGAGUAACGCGUAGGUAACCUGCCUGGUAGCGGGGGAUAACUAUUGGAAACGAUAGCUAAUACCGCAUAAAAUUGAUUAUUGCAUGAUAGUCAAUUGAAAGGUGCAACUGCACCACUACCAGAUGGACCUGCGUUGUAUUAGCUAGUUGGUGGGGUAAACGGCUCACCAAGGCGACGAUACAUAGCCGACCUGAGAGGGUGAUCGGCCACACUGGGACUGAGACCACGGCCCAGAAUUCCUACGGGAGGCCAGCCAGUAGGGAAUUUUUCGGCCAAGGA